GCCCGAUUAGCUCAGCUGGUUAGAGCGUCGUACUAAUAUUACUCUCUACUCUUGAAGUAAUAUCAAGUUCCAUGCGAAGGUCAACAGUUCAAUCCUGUUAUUGGGCA